GAUGAACGCUGGCGGCGUGCUUAACACAUGCAAGUCGAACGGAAAGGCCCAAGCUUGCUUGGGUACUCGAGUGGCGAACGGGUGAGUAACACGUGGGUGAUCUGCCCUGCACUUCGGGAUAAGCCUGGGAAACUGGGUCUAAUACCGGAUAGGACGAUGGUUUGGAUGCCAUUGUGGAAAGUUUUUUCGGUUUGGGAUGAGCUCGCGGCCUAUCAGCUUGUUGGUGGGGUAAUGGCAUACCAAGGCGUCGACGGGUAGCCGGCCUGAGAGGGUGUACGGCCACAUUGGAACUGGGAUACGGCCCAGGCUCCUACGGGAGGCAGCAGUGGGGAAUAUUGCACAAUGGGCGCAAGCAUGAUGCAGCGACGCCGCGUGGGGGAUGACGGCAUUCGGGUUGUAAACUCCUUUCGCUAGGGACGAAGCGUUUUUGUGACGGUACCUGGAGAAGAAGCACCGGCUAACUCCGUG
rnacentral:rRNA from 1 species